rnacentral:rRNA from 1 species
AGUGGCGGACGGGUGAGUAACGCGUGGGUAACCUGCCUCAUACAGGGGGAUAACAGUUAGAAAUGACUGCUAAUACCGCAUAAGACCACAGUGCCGCAUGGCACAGGGGCCAAAGCCUUGACGGUAUGAGAUGGACCCGCGUCUGAUUAGGUAGUUGGUGGGGUAACGGCCUACCAAGCCGACGAUCAGUAGCCGACCUGAGAGGGUGACCGGCCACAUUGGGACUGAGACACGGCCCAAACUCCUACGGGAGGCAGCAG